GGUGAAAACUUGCUGUCAAAAAAAAAAAAAGGGUGAAAACUUAUGCGAAAUGUGCUUGAUUAUGAUCAACCAUUGUUUUUUUCAAAUUAGUAAAUAGUUCUUGCAUGAGGCAAAAAUACAGUAUAACGCUAGUAGUUCUUGCUUCAGAACUCAAUUUAGCUGUGCUUAAAGAGGUAAAAAAUGUUUCAAUUUAGGGUUUAAGAGGAACAAUUUAUGACUUGAUAGCUCGAGCUUGGUUUCUUAUUGAAAGUCUCUGUCUUGAGCAUAAAUCAUAUUGCAUUGACUGGUUUCUUGUCCGUAUAUGAUUUGGAUCAUGAAACAGAGCACCUCUGCUUGGCUUUUAAGCUUUUUGUUUGUGUUGCUUGUGCUUACAAUGCAGGCGAGGAUUGUUCAUUUCAAUUCAGAAGUGUUGACGUCUCCUACAAUGCAAUCAACUCUUUUUAGGGCAAUACAUUGGUCUAAAAAGUUUGGAGGGCUUAUAUUCUUUGACUUGAAUCUACCAUUACCGCUAUGGAGAUCGCGCAAUGAGACUAGGAAGUUGAUCAAGAAAGCAUGGAAUGAAGCAAACAUCAUUGAAGUUUCACAGCAAGAGCUUGAGUUUCUGCUUGAUGAAGAUUACUACGAGAGAAGAAGAAACCACACACCACAAUACUUUGCUGAGGAUUUUGAUCAGACGAAAAACCGAAGAGACUAUUACCACUACACACCAGAGGAAAUCAAGUCAUUGUGGCAUGAGAAGCUGAGCUAUUGGUUGUGACUGAUGGAACACUUCGGCUUCAUUACUAUACUCCUACUUUUGAUGGAGUUGUGGUUGGAACGGAAGAUGUGCUUAUAACUCCUUUCACCUGUGAUAGGACAGGUUCUGGUGAUGCUGUUGUUGCAGGGAUAAUGAGAAAGCUAACAACUUGUCCUGAGAUGUUUGAGGACCAAGAUGUGUUGGAGCGACAGCUCCGGUUUGCAGUUGCUGCUGGGACCAUAGCGCAGUGGACAAUUGGUGCAGUUAGAGGUUUCCCUACUGAAAGCGCGACACAAAAUUUGAAAGAACAAGUUUAUGUUCCAUCAAUGUGGUAGAAUAGAGAAGAUGAAGAACUCAACUUGUGUACUCAAUGUUUUUGAACAAUGUGUGAGAUGUAUACUGAUUCAAAUUUGUAAUCCAAUGAAAUGUACAAUCAAUUUUUGAGUUAAGUCU